rnacentral:lncRNA from 1 species
GGGUAUUCCAGGAGAGCGCAUGCGCAGACGCAUGGCCACAGACUGCCGGUCAGUGUCAGCAGGCGGUGGGUUAGGGUCCGCAGGCCCAGACCAGGCCGCCGACACCAAUAAGCUACAAGGAGGAGCUUUACCGCUGCCUGUACUACUACUGCCUGCGCUACUUCCCAGCCUGCGGCGUAGGGCGCAGCAAGGGCCUGACGCUUAGCGAGCAGGCGCUGCGCACCAAGCGGCUGUCGCCUGGAGGGCACGUUCAGGCAGAAGCUCCUCAGUGGCCACAAGUCCGCUAGCUCCGGCUACAGCCCUUGCCGCACACUCGCGUCACCUGAGCCUGUGAUGCCGAAGGACCUGUUCAAAGUAUUUUCUGUAACUCCAACUGUAACUUGGUUCUAGGAGGAGAGAAUCCAUGUUUGGUCAACAGAACUUUUCGCCGCCACUUAAGUUUACUGCUUCAAUAUCUUUUCCUUACUAAUUGAUUGUUAAUUAAGUAGUGUCCAAGUGAGUUAGCCUUUUUAGGGUUGAUUAAUUAAAAGAGCAGCAAGAAUGGCAUUUUAACUCUUCUGGUUUUUGGGGUUUUUUUUUCAGUUACUAUGAUAACUCUUUUC